GAGGGGUAACAUUGGUGCUUGCACCAGAUGACGACCGGCGCACGGGUGCGUAACGCGUAUACAAUCUACCUUUUGCUAAGGGAUAGCCCAGAGAAAUUUGGAUUAAUACCUUAUAGUAUGCAGACUUCUCAUGGAGAUUGCAUUAAAGAUUACGGCAAAAGAUGAGUAUGCGUCCUAUUAGUUUGUUGGUGUGGUAACGGCACACCAAGACUACGAUAGGUAGGGGCCCUGAGAGGGGGAUCCCCCACACUGGUACUGAGACACGGACCAGACUCCUACGGGAGGCAGCAGUGAGGAAUAUUGGACAAUGGAGGCAACUCUGAUCCAGCCAUGCCGCGUGCAGGAAGACUGCCCUAUGGGUUGUAAACUGCUUUUAUACAGGAAGAAACACUCCCUCGUGAGGGAGCUUGACGGUACUGUAAGAAUAAGGAUCGGCUAACUCCGUGCCAGCAGCCGCGGUAAUACGGAGGAUCCAAGCGUUAUCCGGAAUCAUUGGGUUUAAAGGGUCCGUAGGUGGAUAAUUAAGUCAGAGGUGAAAGUUUGCAGCUCAACUGUAAAAUUGCCUUUGAUACUGGUUAUCUUGAGUUAUUGUGAAGUAGUUAGAAUAUGUAGUGUAGCGGUGAAAUGCAUAGAUAUUACAUAGAAUACCAAUUGCGAAGGCAGAUUACUAACAAUAUACUGACACUGAUGGACGAAAGCGUGGGUAGCGAACAGGAUUAGAUACCCUGGUAGUCCACGCCGUAAACGAUGGAUACUAGCUGUUGGGCUUCGGCUCAGUGGCUAAGCGAAAGUGAUA
rnacentral:rRNA from 1 species